UGGGGAAUUUUGGACAAUGGGCGAAAGCCUGAUCCAGCAAUGCCGCGUGUGUGAAGAAGGCCUUCGGGUUGUAAAGCACUUUUGUCCGGAAAGAAAUCCUUGGCUCUAAUACAGUCGGGGGAUGACGGUACCGGAAGAAUAAGCACCGGCUAACUACGUGCCAGCAGCCGCGGUAAUACGUAGGGUGCAAGCGUUAAUCGGAAUUACUGGGCGUAAAGCGUGCGCAGGCGGUUUGCUAAGACCGAUGUGAAAUCCCCGGGCUCAACCUGGGAACUGCAUUGGUGACUGGCAGGCUAGAGUAUGGCAGAGGGGGGUAGAAUUCCACGUGUAGCAGUGAAAUGCGUAGAGAUGUGGAGGAAUACCGAUGGCGAAGGCAGCCCCCUGGGCCAAAUACUGACGCUCAUGCACGAAAGCGUGGGGAGCAAACAGGAUUAGAUACCCUGGUAGUCCACGCCCUAAAACGAUGUCAACUAGUUGUUGGGGGUUCAUUUCCUUAGUAACGUAGCUAACGCGUGAAGUUGACCGCCUGGGGAGUACGGUCGCAAGAUUAAAACUUAAAUGAAUUGACGGGGUCAUAGCUGUUUCCU
rnacentral:rRNA from 1 species